AAAACGCUUCUGUUUGGUGUCUGGACCCUGCUGGCCUUGAUCCUUUGCCCAGACCCAGGACCCAGUGGAAUUGAGACCUUCUUAAAGAAAACUCAGGUGGGCAAAGGGCCUCAGUGGAAAGAGUUUCUUCUGGAGGAUGUCACAGAGAAUUCCAUCCUGCAGUGCUUCUUCUCUUGUGCAGGGAUUCAAAAGGACACAAGCCUUGGCAUCACUGUGUAUUAGCCACCAGAGCAAGUGAUCCUGGAGCUGCAGCCUGCCUGGGUGGCUGUGGACGAAGCCUUCACAGUGAAGUGUCAUGUACCCAGUGUAGCACCCUUGGAGAGUCUCACCCUUGCCCUUCUCCAGGGUAACCAAGAACUGCAUAGAAAGAACUUU
ensembl:lncRNA TCAM1P testicular cell adhesion molecule 1, pseudogene